rnacentral:rRNA from 1 species
UACAGAGGUGCCGAGCGUUAGGCGGAAUCACUGGGCUUAAAGCGUGUGUAGGCGGACGCCUAAGUACCUUGUGAAAUCCCACGGCUCACCCGUGGAACUGCUUGGUAUACUGCGGGUCUUGAGCCACCUAGGGGCGAGCGGAACAAGUGGUGGAGCGGUGAAAUGCGUAGAUAUCACUUGGAACGCCAAUGGUGAAAACAGCUCGCUGGGGGUGUGCUGACGCUGAGACACGAAAGCCAGGGGAGCAAACGGG